rnacentral:rRNA from 1 species
UGGGGGAUAUUGCACAAUGGGCGAAAGCCUGAUGCAGCGACGCCGCGUGGGGGAUGAAGGCCUUCGGGUUGUAAACUUCUUUUGCUCUGAACAAGGCAUGCUAAUGGGUGUGUUGAGUGUAGGGGUUGAUUAGCGCCGGCUAACUACGUGCCAGCAGCCGCGGUAAUACGUAGGGAGCGAGCGUUGUCCGGAAUUAUUGGGCGUAAAGGGCUUGUAGGUGGCUGGUUGCGUCUGUCGUGAAAGCUCAUGGCUUAACUGUGGGUUUGCGGUGGGUACGGGCUGGCUUGAGUGCAGUAGGGGAGGCUGGAAUUCCUGGUGUAGCGGUGGAAUGCGCAGAUAUCAGGAGGAAUACCGGUGGCGAAGGCGGGUCUCUGGGCUGUUACUGACACUGAGGAGCGAAAGCAUGGGGAGCGAACAGG